rnacentral:lncRNA from 1 species
UUCCCAUUUUUAAACCUCUGCUUAAUUACAAUUGAUAAAACUUAAUAAAAUAAAUGAUAUAUCAAUUUUAAUUAAUUUAUAUUAUAUAAUAAAAUUAAAGUAUAAAUAUAUUAUCAUAAAAAUAAUAUUUAUAUUAAUAUAUUUAUUUAUAUAUCUAUUAAUCUAAUAAAAUAAAAAAAAGAAUAGAAUUGUUCUCAGUUUUUCUAUAAAUAAUUUUUAACGAGUUAUUUCAGAACAACACAGAACAGCCCGUUUAAAUCGGAACAAUCCAUUCCAUCUUGUUCGGCUACAAUUUGAGUAUAUUUUCUCUUAUUAUGAGAUACUAGUUACGGAACCCCGCGCGUUGCGGCGGAAAGUCGAUACAAUAGUCAAUUAUUAAAAUUAUUAAAACUAUUUUUAAUAUUAUUCAUUAAUAUUUUUAAAUAAUAUUUAUUUUCGUAGUGAGUAUAUUUAGAAACAGAGGUAAACGGAAUCUCACGUGUUGCAACAGGAAGUCGAUACAAUAGCCAAUUAUUAGAACUAUUAAUAUUAAUUUUAAUAUUACUUAUUCAUUAAUAAAUUUCCCCUUCUAUAGAUAAU